GCUGAGGAAGUUGCCUCUCUCUGGCGCCUGCAUUCAAUGAACGUUUGUAAUGUUAGCAGGUGUGGACCUUGAGGAGAUUUUCUCUCCCUGGCUGCCCAAUUAUCAUUUUUAGAGAGGCAAUGCGAUAAUUGCUGAACGAUGUCACCUGACAUUCCUAGCGGGUGGGAGAGAGCCCUCUCCUGCCCCGCUCAUUGCCUAACUACCUGUAACAGGUGUGUGGGUGAGUGCUCCCUGUGAUGGAACGGUGUCCUGUUCAGGACUGGGUGCCACCUGGCACCUUGAGCUGCCAGGACCGGCUCGGGCUGCUCGCGAUCCCAAACUAGAACAAAUGGAUAACCAACUUAACUCUACAACCUUGUUCAGCUGAGAGUUCCAGUCUGCAUAUUACUAUGUGCUUGGGGAAUUCUCCUUGACAGAAAUGUUCAGUUGUCUAGCUCACAGGGAUAUCCACAAGCCAGACCCAGAAAGCCUUUGCUACCAUUGAUGAAGAUGCCAAGUCCACAGCCCAACAGCCAGAAGACCCUUGGUCUAGACUAGUGGCCUUGUGAGAAGAGAGAGCAACACCAGCAAUGCACAUGCAAAGAGGAAAGGCCCUGCAAGGAUGCUAAGAACGAGGACGGCCAUCCGCCCACCAAGGAGAGAAGUAUCAGGAGGAACAAACCGGCCAACACCUUGAUCUUGGACUUCCAGCCUCCAGAACUGUCCGCAGCUUGGGCUACCUUCCAGCAUAAAGUCACUAAAGAUGUGCCGGGCAUGAUGAAGGAAGAAAGCGACUACAUGCUGAAGGAGAUGGUGCGGGGACUCGCUAGUACCUAUUGGCAGGACCUGGGGAACUUUGGUGGGUGCUUGAUAAUGGGGACUGGAAUAAAAACUGG
rnacentral:lncRNA from 1 species